ensembl:snRNA U6 U6 spliceosomal RNA
GUGCUUACUUCAGCAGCACAUAUACUAAAAUUGGGAUGACACAGAGAUUAGCAUGACCCCUGUGCAAGAAUGACAUGCAAAUUCAUGAUGCUUUCCAUAUUUUU